rnacentral:rRNA from 1 species
UACAGAGGUCUCAAGCGUUGUUCGGAUUCAUUGGGCGUAAAGGGUGCGUAGGUGGCGCCGUAAGUCAGGUGUGAAAUUUCGGAGGUCAACUCCGAAACUGCAUUUGAUACUGCGGUGCUUGAGGACUGGAGAGGAGACUGGAAUUCACGGUGUAGCAGUGAAAUGCGUAGAUAUCGUGAGGAAGACCAGUGGCGAAGGCGGGUCUCUGGACAGUUCCUGACACUGAGGCACGAAGGCCAGGGGAGCAAACGGG